UGGGGAAUUUUGGACAAUGGGGGAAACCCUGAUCCAGCCAUCCCGCGUGUGCGAUGAAGGCCUUCGGGUUGUAAAGCACUUUUGGCAGGAAAGAAACGUCGCGGGUUAAUACCCCGCGGAACUGACGGUACCUGCAGAAUAAGCACCGGCUAACUACGUGCCAGCAGCCGCGGUAAUACGUAGGGUGCAAGCGUUAAUCGGAAUUACUGGGCGUAAAGCGUGCGCAGGCGGUUCGGAAAGAAAGAUGUGAAAUCCCAGAGCUUAACUUUGGAACUGCAUUUUUAGCUACCGGGCUAGAGUGUGUCAGAGGGAGGUGGAAUUCCGCGUGUAGCAGUGAAAUGCGUAGAUAUGCGGAGGAACACCGAUGGCGAAGGCAGCCUCCUGGGAUAACACUGACGCUCAUGCACGAAAGCGUGGGGAGCAAACAGGAUUAGAUACCCUGGUAGUCCACGCCCUAAACGAUGUCAACUAGCUGUUGGGGUCUUCGGACCUUGGUAGCGCAGCUAACGCGUGAAGUUGACCGCCUGGGGAGUACGGUCGCAAGAUUAAAACUUAAAGGAAUUG
rnacentral:rRNA from 1 species